UUAAACUGAAGAGUUUGAUCCUGGCUCAGAUUGAACGCUGGCGGCAUGCCUUACACAUGCAAGUCGAACGGCAGCACGGAGCUUGCUCUGG
rnacentral:rRNA from 1 species